CAGAGCUGGAUUAAGCAUGGAUUUUUCAAUUUUAAACAUGGCUGCGUUUUUAAGGCAGCUAGUUAUACCAGACUUUAAAAGGUUAAUGCUUGUUUGAGUAACCUUCGUAGCAUUCUCAACGAAGGAAUCAACAACAGUUUGAGGUACACGUCCUCUUUCUUUGAAAUUUAACAAACAUAAAGUAUUCGCUCUAGUCCUCUAGAUAAAUUGUCCUGGUCAGCCAUAAUGUAAAACCCUUUUUCCUGUUCAGGGUCUGUAUUGUCAAUCUCAUGAUUUUGAUUAGCAUCGUCGUUUCCCCUAUCAGUAUUCAACUCUGCGCUGCUCUUCGUAUUGCGCAAGAUGUUAUGUUUUCGAAUAAGGCAAUUUCUCAAUGAUAAAAAUUUCUUAAACGUCCUGGCACAACCAUCGAUGCCACAAACAACAUGAAAAUUUGGUUCAUCACGAUGAACACGGCCAAUAUGUGUUAUUAGUAAUUGAAGAGAAUCUGAAACGAAUUCUAGGCAAAUAUUACAUCGAUAUAGACGCUCCAUGACAUAAUUCACUUCAAGAAUACAAUUCACUUCUGAAGAGAGUGCCGGCUCAACUCUGUUACCAUAUAUGGUGUGAAAUGUGAUAUUAGCGACUAUAUGCAAAACGCGCGUUGUCAACUAAACGUAAAAGUCAAUAUUACCAGGCUAAAAGAGCCAUUGGAUUUAAGUUAUUUGGUUUCGACGAUCUCCCUUUUAAAAAGGUCGGAUGGAUUCCACGUUGCUUGAUAAUCUUAAGAAGGCAGGGGUAAAGGACAGUGUAAUUUCUAUUCUUGAAGAUGAAGAGAUAUAAAGAGUGCAGUUACAGCAUUGAUAUUCAGGUUGUGUUGAAUGAAAAAUCCACGGCCAAUUGCUUAGUUUUCAAGAUCUGCUGCGAAGAUGACUCUUUUGAUGAUGAAAUAGCAAACACCACCUACCCACGACUAAUUGGAACCGGAGAAUUAUGGAGUCUGGACCCCCUUGUAAUUGCUACCGAAGGGCAAAUUUUUUUAAAUCUGUCAAAAAAAAAUAUAGAAAUUUCAUUGUCUACAGUACUACUUCUAGGUACAUUUUAUGUACUGAAUAUGGAAUAUACACCAAAGGCCUGUAACAUUUAUGCCCUUUUGGAAGCAGUUUUGAUGGGCAAGCCCGCAAAUGCAAAGAAAA